GUGAGGAAUAUUGGUCAAUGGGCGAGAGCCUGAACCAGCCAAGUCGCGUGAAGGAUGAAGGUUUUAUGAAUUGUAAACUUCUUUUGCAGGGGAAUAAAGUACGGUACGUGUACCGUUUUGUAUGUACUCUGCGAAUAAGGAUCGGCUAACUCCGUGCCAGCAGCCGCGGUAAUACGGAGGAUCCAAGCGUUAUCCGGAUUUAUUGGGUUUAAAGGGUGCGUAGGUGGUUUGAUAAGUCAGCGGUGAAAGUUUGCAGCUUAACUGUAAAAAUGCCGUUGAAACUGUCGGACUUGAGUGUAAAUGAGGUAGGCGGAAUGCGUGGUGUAGCGGUGAAAUGCAUAGAUAUCACGCAGAACUCCGAUUGCGAAGGCAGCUUACUAAGCUACAACUGACACUGAAGCACGAAAGCGUGGGGAUCAAACAGGAUUAGAUACCCCUGUAGUCC
rnacentral:rRNA from 1 species